CAAAGGGUGGUUUUAAAUACAACUAAGCAGUGUGUAUCUUUUGGUUAUUCCCAGAAUCCAGGAUCACUUUUCCCGCCUCUUCACUCAAGUUGACAGCCACACUCGAGGAAACGAAGGUGUCGCUUGAUCUGGCGCCUCAGCGCUCGUGAUAAGAAAAUCAACAGCCGUGUUCGCCCUGUCAAACGAACGAGGCAGUCGGUCCUACAUUUCCUUUGGUUAGACAAGACGAAGUAGGAAAAGAGAUACCGUUUUUAUGAUGCUCACGCUGAACAGUAGCGAUAGCCUAGCAAGUGACAAGUCUGAUGCCUCCAGCCGUCACCACUUUUUGAUUUAUUCUUGACCAUAAGGAGUAAAGAUUGAGACAUGA
rnacentral:lncRNA from 1 species